CCCAUCCAAGUGUGACGUCAGAAGCUACCACGCCCAUGCCCAAAUUGGACACAUUCUCGUUAACAUUUAAAAACAGGAAGAAGAACUAUCGAGAAGAGAAGACUAGAAGACGAAGGCAAUCAUAAAUGCCCUGGCUGUCUCCUGACUGGGAUAUCUCCUCACAGGAGGCUGAGCAGGUCUUCCUUUCUGGUCUGGAUUAUCAUUGCAAAGUUGAAGCCAUUCCUGCAGCAACUGGUGGAAAACGGGGGAUCUUUUUGGUGCUUUUGUUCUAGCAUAAAUAAUUUUGUUCUUUCGUAUAAUAUAAAUAAAUACAUAUGUAUAUAUAAAUAAAUUCAUGCUUAAAUCAUUCUCAAGUUUUGCCUUCUGAUAUUCUGGCCAUAUCAUUUAGUGACUGCAUGUGCUGAUUCCAUCGUUAUUUUAUCUGAUAAUGAGCAAAUUAGUUAAACUUAAGGAGGUUAAUCAAUAUACAGCAUAAUUCAAGAAACUAGGGCUCACACCACUUUUCAGUUGAAUAAGAUUGAUAAACAUUUUUAAUUUGUUUUGUAUGAAUUUACAUUUUUUGUAAAUGUCUUUGAUGCAUUUUGAAUAAAAAAAAACAUUUUAUAAAAAUACUCCUGAGAUUAAAUGUCUUUCGAACUAUGUACAUACAAACUAAAACAAGGGUCCUGUAACCGGGGUCCUAAAGCUGCAGCCUCCGAUUGUGUAGGGAUUUGCUCUGAACAACGGACAUUGGUUAUUUUAACAAAAAGUUAUCACACUUGCAUAAAUGGGUCAUUUUUUAACCAUAUGUGUAAACUUGAUGUAUUAACACAAAAUA